ACAGAGGAUGCAAGCGUUAUCCGGAAUGAUUGGGCGUAAAGCGUCUGUAGGUGGCUUUUUAAGUCCACCGUCAAAUCCCAGGGCUCAACCCUGGACGGGCGGUGGAAACUACCAAGCUGGAGUACGGUAGGGGCAAAGGGAAUUUCCGGUGGAGCGGUGAAAUGCGUAGAGAUCGGAAAGAACACCAAUGGCGAAAGCACUUUGCUGGGCCGACACUGACACUGAGAGACGAAAGCUAGGGGAGCAAAUGGGAUUAGAUACCCCAGUAGUCCUAGCUGUAAACGAUGGAUACUAAGCGCUGUGCGUAUCGACCCGUGCAGUGCUGUAGCUAACGCAUUAAGUAUCCCGCCUGGGGAGUACGUUCGCAAGAAUG
rnacentral:rRNA from 1 species